UACGUAGGGCGCAAGCGUUGUCCGGAAUUAUUGGGCGUAAAGAGCUCGUAGGCGGCUUGUCACGUCGGUUGUGAAAGCCCGGGGCUUAACCCCGGGUCUGCAGUCGAUACGGGCAGGCUAGAGUGUGGUAGGGGAGAUCGGAAUUCCUGGUGUAGCGGUGAAAUGCGUUGAUAUCGAGAGGAACACCAGAGGUGAAGACGGGUUGCUGGGCCGACACUGACGCUGAGGCGCGAAAGCCAGGGGAGCAAACGGG
rnacentral:rRNA from 1 species